rnacentral:misc_RNA from 1 species
AACGCACAUGGCGCCUUCCAGUAUCCUGGGAGGCAUGCCUGUCCGAGCGUCGUUUCAACCCUCGAGCCCCCGUGGCCCGGCGUUGGGGAUCUGCCCAGGCAGUCCCCGAAAACCAGUGGCGGACCCGUCGUGGCCUCCCCUGCGAAGUAGUGAUAUUCCGCAUAGGAGAGCGACGAGCCCCUGCCGUUAAACCCCCAACUUUCUCAGGUUGACCUCAGAUCAGGUAGGAAUACCCGCUGAACUUAA